rnacentral:rRNA from 1 species
GACUACUCGGGUAUCUAAGCCUGUUUGCUCCCCACGCUUUCGAGCCUCAGCGUCAGUUUCAGUCCAGAAAGCCGCCUUCGCCACCGAUGUUCCUCCUGAUAUCUAUGCAUUUCACCGCUACACCAGGAAUUCCGCUUUCCUCUCCUGUACUCUAGCCAACCAGUAUUGGAUGCACCACCCAAGUUAAGCCCGGGGAUUUCACAUCCAACUUAAUCGGCCGCCUACGCUCCCUUUACGCCCAGUAAUUCCGGACAACGCUCGCCCCCUACGUAUUACCGCGGCUGCUGGCACGUAGUUAGCCGGGGCUUCCUCACAGAUUACCGUCACUUCCUUCGUCAUCUGCGACAGAGGUUUACAAUCCGAAAACCUUCUUCCCUCACGCGGCGUUGCUGGGUCAGGCUUGCGCCCAUUGCCCAAUAUUCCCCACUGCAGCCGCCCGUAGG